rnacentral:rRNA from 1 species
CCUACGGGAGGCAGCAGUGGGGAAUUUUGGACAAUGGGCGCAAGCCUGAUCCAGCAAUGCCGCGUGAGUGAAGAAGGCCUUCGGGUUGUAAAGCUCUUUUGUCAGGGAAGAAACGGCUGAGGUUAAUACCUUUGGCUAAUGACGGUACCUGAAGAAUAAGCACCGGCUAACUACGUGCCAGCAGCCGCGGUAAUACGUAGGGUGCAAGCGUUAAUCGGAAUUACUGGGCGUAAAGCGUGCGCAGGCGGUUUUGUAAGUCUGUCGUGAAAGCCCCGGGCUCAACCUGGGAAUUGCGAUGGAGACUGCAAGGCUUGAAUCUGGCAGAGGGGGGUAGAAUUCCACGUGUAGCAGUGAAAUGCGUAGAGAUGUGGAGGAACACCGAUGGCGAAGGCAGCCCCCUGGGUCAAGAUUGACGCUCAUGCACGAAAGCGUGGGGAGCAAACAGGAUUAGAUACCCUGGUAGUCCACGCCCUAAACGAUGUCUACUAGUUGUCGGGUUUUAAUUAACUUGGUAACGCAGCUAACGCGUGAAGUAGACCGCCUGGGGGAGGUACGGUCGCGAAGAGUAAACGUUACGAAGUAAGUUAGAGGCGNGAGAGNGCGACGGACGACGACGAGGGAGGAGG